UGCCUGGUGCAAACUGCAGCCAGCCUCUCCAGUCGUCCAUCUCCCUGAAGCAUAUGUAACAGAAAGAUUGGAGGCUGCGAGAGAGGAGAAGUAAGCGAGGAAGGCAUCUGUUCGUUCAGCGUGGGAACCCCUCAGGGGGGCAACACGAUAAUUUGAGUUCACGUCAAAUCAGAUCUUCCGAAUGUGCCUCCGGAUCUCGAUGUGUCACUUAGUCUGUUUGUCAACCAGGAGGGGAGUCGCUCCGCAGGCACCAACCGGAGUGUCACCUUCACUCAGCCCGACGACUCCAUGUUAUGAAACUGCUCGCUCGUUUUCAGUCAGCUUUGUCAAAAAAAUCAAAAAAAUAAAAAACCCCGGCUCCAACCUGUCUCCAAACUCUCCUGGCAAACACCAGUCAAGUGGCUUUUCACGGUGAGACGUUAGUAAUCACAACAGGACACUUGGCAGGGACGAGUUUUCGGCUUGAGUCAUGGGUUUGAUGCAGACAGUUGGUUGCUGAGUAAACACGCAGACCUUUAGUUUUUGGAUUUGACCAUUUAAAUGAUCUUUCUUCUUGUCCAGACUGCUGUGUUCCCAGAAACAGUAAUCACAUUCACUAUUAAUGAGCCAUGAUGUUCAUUCCAGACCCAUUUACUCCUCUCAAUAAUGCAUAGUCUUUGGAAUUGCCUGUGCAUAUUUUACUCAAUGGCACCACCUCCUCCAGAGCGAUACCGGUGAUGUUUUGGUUGUGCUCAACACUCAUGUUUCCUUUUUUUUUUCUACGUGUUCUCCUAGGAACAAUGCCUGCUAGAGAAAUGAUGUCUCAUGUGUGACUUUGACUAACAUCGCCUGCUGGGUUGGAGAUAAUGAAACAUUGCCAGUGGAACGUGCUAACUCACUUGUUGAAGGAGCUCAGUUCUCCCAUUACUCCCCUCGAACCGGGCCAGUAAAAGGCUCUUCAGUUCGCUGAAAGACACAACAGAAGAUCCAUUCUUAUAAGUCUGGAGCGGCUCAACCAAAGAACCUAGCCCGGUUGACAAACUCAGUCAAGUACUGAGCUGAUGGCAUCAAUGAUUUAGAGAAAAAUUGGCACCUUCAAAAAGCUUGAAAACAUGAACCUGACUCAUCCUGAGCAACAUUUAAAGAUGCGAGGAACGACUCCAGAAUGUAUUCUAUCAAAGAUUAUGAGUUGUGAUGGAAGUUGCCUUCAGUGUUCCCCAGAAACAUGAUGGCACCUUUCAGCUGUCAGCAUGAGGCAGAAUAGUGAGCUGAAUAGAGAGCGGGGUCAUGAGGUGAUGCCAGGAGGGGAAAGGCCACACACGGGCCUGGAGACACAUUACAGGGGUUAGAAAGUGGGUCAGGCUCAUGCACUUUGGUGAAGGGAACCAUGUGGUUUUGAUGUUGCCGCAGGCUUACACUCUGCUAUGCUUGUCGUCUGACCUCCAGUCGAGGUCUCUCACCCCGCUGCAACCUCCUCCCCAUGCUCACCAUCUCAGAGAAGGUGUGCAGAAUACCUAAGAGGCUGCGGGGCUGCCUCACAAAAGGCAGCUAUUUUCUGCCUCCCCUGCUCUACAUUCUGUCUUGUCUCUCUGUAAAUCUCUGAGUUAUCUUCUCCACACUCUUGCUUCUUCAUCCACAACCCCUGUGCCUCAGCCUCCAACCCUCCUCACUGUAUUUGUUUCACAAAACCUUCCAUUUUCGCCUCUCCACGCUGUCUCCGCUCCAGAAAAGCAUCUAUUAUUAACAAACACCUCAGGCUCCCACCAACAAGCUAAACCAAGGCCUGGCCCAAGCUCCUUGGCAUUUUAAUCACCUGUAAUGAGGACCCAAAUGAUGAAUGCAUCCAGUUCAAAUGACGGGAAUUAAUUCACGUCUCACACUUACAGUCUAGGCAGAUGAUCC